rnacentral:rRNA from 1 species
AACGAACGCUGGCGGCGUGCCUAAUACAUGCAAGUCGAGCGAGAAAGUCUUCGGAUGAGUACAGCGGCGCACGGGUGAGUAACACGUAGGUACCUGCCUUGAAGUGGGGAAUAACAUCGGGAAACCGGUGCUAAUACCGCAUAUGAAAGUAAUUUCAAAGAGGGCGUAGCAAUACGCUCUUGCUUCUUGAGGGGCCUGCG